rnacentral:rRNA from 1 species
UACAGAGGUCUCAAGCGUUGUUCGGAUUCAUUGGGCGUAAAGGGUGCGUAGGCGGCGCGGUAAGUCGGAUGUGAAAUCUCGGAGCUUAACUUCGAAACUGCAUUCGAUACUGCCGUGCUUGAGGACUGGAGAGGAGACUGGAAUUUACGGUGUAGCAGUGAAAUGCGUAGAUAUCGUAAGGAAGACCAGCGGCGAAGGCGGAGUUCCUGGACAGUUCA